CAGCAGUAGCCGCGGUAAUACGAGGGGGGCAAGCGUUGUUCGGAAUUAUUGGGCGUAAAGGGUGCGUAGGCGGUCUGAUAAGUCUUAUGUGAAAUCUAUGGGCUCAACCCAUAGUCUGCAUAGGAAACUGUCGGGCUUGAGAGUGGGAGAGGUGAGUGGAAUUUCCGGUGUAGCGGUGAAAUGCGUAGAUAUCGGAAGGAACACCUGUGGCGAAAGCGGCUCACUGGACCAUUUCUGACGCUGAUGCACGAAAGCUAGGGGAGCAAACAGGAUUAGAUACCCGGGUAGUCCCUGUCUCUUAUAA
rnacentral:rRNA from 1 species